UACGGAGGAUCCAAGCGUUAUCCGGAACCAUUGGGUUUAAAGGGUCCGUAAGCGGUUUUAUAAGUCAGUGGUGAAAUCUGGUCGCUCAACGAUCAAACGGCCAUUGAUACUGUAGAACUUGAAUUACUUGGAAGUAACUAGAAUAUGUAGUGUAGCGGUGAAAUGCUUAGAGAUUACAUGGAAUACCAAUUGCGAAGGCAGGUUACUACAAGUACAUUGACGCUGAUGGACGAAAGCGUGGGGAGCGAACAGG
rnacentral:rRNA from 1 species